rnacentral:rRNA from 1 species
AUGCGCAUUCACAUGCGUGGCAUCCGUCUUUGGGGUGUUCUUUCUGGCGAGGUCUGUUGUCCGCCACGUCCAGUUCCUCCGGUGGCCCCUACCCCGCCAACUCCAUCGGUUCUUCCUACGGAUGCUAAUCAGGCUGCCAAGGAUGCGGCUAAGGUUGCUGAUGAGGUUGCUGAUCGUGCUUAUGAUGAGAGGGUUUUGGCUUAUGAGGAGGCUCUUCAGUUGUAUCAUGGUGCUCUGUCUGCUUACACCCAGUGGCUUGAUGAUGAUGCCCGUGCUGCAGCUGUUCUCACUGCUAGUGUUCUGCCUCAGUUUGCUUCUGAAUUUCUGGGUCUUUCUACUGUCUUUGAGAUGUGGACCCGUCUUCGUGAGCGCUAUCAGCCCUCUGGUGAUGCCUUAUACCUCUCUGUGAUCCGCCAGGAGCAUGCUCUUCAGCAGGGUGACUCUACUGUUGAUGACUUCUAUGCACAGAGUUCUGCUAUCUGGCGUCAGCUUGAUUCUCUCCGUAGUGCUGGGUGUCGUACCUGCCCCUGUUGCCAGGCUGUCCAGGCCAAUUUGGAGUUUCAUCGCGUCUAUGAGUUCUUGUCUCGGCUUCGUAAGGAGUUUGAGCCCCGGCGUGCUCAGUUGUUUGCUCGUGGCCGUAUUUCUCUCAUGGAGGCGCUUUCUGAGAUUCGUGCAGAGGAGACUCGCUUACGUGGUGCUGGUUUGCUGGAGGUUCCCUCUGUGCUUGCUACUCGUGCUCCUCCGCCACCUGCUCCAUCGACCACUUCUCGCUCGAGUGCUCCGCCGCUCUUGCCCACUCCUUCUGGAGGCUCCGGUCGCCCCCGUCCACACUGCGCCUAUUGCAACAAUGAUGGUCAUCUUGAGUCUCAGUGCUACACGAAGAAGAAACACCUGCGCAAGGCUCGAUCAUCAUCUUCAGGGACUUCGUCGUCUACCUCGACAGCUUCAACCAUUGCUUUGACUGAGCAGGAUAUUCUGAGACUUAAGCGUCUGCUCGCGGCUUCAGGUUCUUCCUCGACGGGUACUGCCGGUUCUGUGACUGAUGCUUCCCGCACUGAGCAAUCACCCUCUACACAGUCAGGUACAUCCCCAUGGGUUCUGGACUCUGGAGCUUCUUUUCAUAUGUCUUCUCAUUCCUCCACUUUGUCCUCUCUUCGAUCACUGGAUUCUCCUAUUCAUGUCUUCACUGCUGAUGGUACUCCACUUUCUGUUGCUAGUAGAGGCAAUCUUACUACUCCUUCUUAUUCUGUUCCUGAUGUUGCUCAUGUUCCUCGACUUACCAUGAAUUUGUUUUCUGCUGGUCAACUUACGGAUUCUGGUUGUCGUGUCAUCCUUGAUGUUGACUCUUGUUCUGUUCAGGACCGUCACACGCACACUCUGGUUGGGGCUGGCCCUCGCCGCCGUGAUUCUCAGGGUCUUUGGGAGUUGGACUGGCUUCAUGUUCCUUCUGCUGCUACCACCAUCGCCAGUUCUUCCGCUUCUGUUGCCUCUGUCACUGGUUCCUUCCAGCAGUGGCAUCAUCGACUUGGUCAUCUGUGUGGAUCUCGGUUGUCUUCUUUAGUUCGUCGAGGCCUUCUGGGGUCUGUCUCAGGAGAUGUCUCUUUAGAGUGUCAGGGUUGUCGUCUUGGUAAGCAGAUUCAGUUACCAUAUUCACAUAGUGAGUCCGUGUCUAAGCGUCCUUUCGAUUUAGUCCAUUCUGAUGUAUGGGGUCCGGCCCCUUUCGCUUCGAAAGGUGGUCAUAAAUACUAUAUUAUUUUCAUAGAUGAUUUCUCUCGUUACACAUGGCUUUAUUUCAUGACUUCUCGUUCUGAGGUGUUGUCUAUUUAUAAGCGUUUUGCUGCCAUGGUUCAUACUCAGUUCUCUUCACCCAUUCGUGUUUUUCGUGCUGACUCCGCUGGCGAGUAUAUCUCUAAGAUGUUGCGUGGUGUUCUUGCUGAACACGGGACUCUCUCUCAAUUCUCUUGUCCUGGUGCUCAUGCUCAGAAUGGUGUGGCUGAGCGAAAGCAUCGACAUCUUCUUGAGACGGCUCGUGCAUUGACGAUUGCUGCCUCUCUCCCGCCUCAUUUUUGGGCUGAGGCCAUCUCCACAUCCACCUAUCUUAUCAAUAUACAGCCUUCCGCUGCUCUACAGGGUGGUGUUCCUUUCGAGCGACUUUUUGAUCGUUCUCCCGAUUAUUCGAUGCUUCGCUUGUUUGGUUGUGUUUGCUAUGUUCUUCUUGCCCCUAGCGAACGCACCAAACUGACUGCUCAGUCUGUUGAGUGCGUUUUCUUAGGCUACAGUGAUGAGCAUAAGGGCUAUCGUUGUUGGGAUCCUAUUGGUCGUCGGAUGCGUAUCUCUCGAGAUGUGACUUUUGACGAGUCUCGUCCUUUCUACCCACGCCCAUCUUCCUCGACUUUUUCAGUGCAGGAUAUCUCUUUCCUCACUUUUCCUGACACACCUAUCACCCUCGCCGACACUGUACCUCUCCGUUCCACUUCCUCUCCUUCUCCACAUCUCGUUGACUUGCAGUCACCUUCCUCCCCGGUCUCCUCGUCUAGCUUGUCACCGGGUUCUCCACCUUCAUCUCCGGUGACUUCCUCUCCCAGUUUGUCACCGGAUUCUACACCUUCAUCUCCGGUGACUUCUUCGUCGUCACCCCCUGAUUCUACCUUGCCGAUUCCUCCUUCUAUUAUUCCAUCUCUUCCUCAACAUUACACUCGUCGUCCACGACCAGUUGAUGCCUCCGUGGAUGGGUCGUCAUCUUUCUCUCAGCCUACUUAUGGUUUGCGUUCUCGUCCUCGUCCGCCUGUUGAUCGCUUUGGAUUUCCCACUGCUGGUGCUGCUGUUCUUGAGCCGACUUCUUACCGUCAGGCUGUUGUUCAUCCUGAAUGGCAGUUUGCGAUGGCAGAGGAGAUUGCUGCUCUUGAACGCACUGGUACUUGGGAUCUUGUUUCUCUUCCUCCCGGAGUCCGUCCGAUCACUUGUAAGUGGGUCUACAAGGUUAAGACUCGCUCCGAUGGUUCUCUUGAGCGUCACAAAGCUCGUCUUGUGGCUCGUGGUUUUCAGCAGGAGCAUGGUCGUGAUUAUGACGAGACUUUUGCUCCUGUGGCUCAUAUGACCACUGUUCGUACCCUUCUUGCCGUUGCCUCUGCACGCCACUGGUCUAUAUCUCAGCUUGAUGUUAAGAAUGCCUUUCUUAAUGGUGAGUUGCGUGAGGAGGUGUACAUGCAGCCACCACCUGGGUAUUCUGUUCCUGAUGGCAUGGUAUGUCGUCUUCGUCGCUCUCUCUAUGGCCUUAAGCAAGCCCCCCGCGCCUGGUUUGAGCGCUUUGCCUCUGUGAUCACUGCUGCUGGUUUUUUAGCAAGUGCUCAUGAUCCCGCAUUGUUUAUUCACCUUUCUCCUCGUGGUCGGACUCUUCUUCUUCUUUAUGUUGAUGACAUGAUCAUCACGGGGGAUGAUCCCGAGUAUAUUGCCUUUGUAAAGGCCCGUCUUAGUGAGCAGUUUCUUAUGUCUGAUCUUGGACCUCUUCGCUACUUUCUUGGGAUUGAAGUCUCUUCUACCUCUGAUGGCUUUUUUAUAUCCCAGGAAAAGUAUAUCCAGGAUCUUCUUGCUCGUGCUGCUCUUACUGACGAGCGCAUUGUUGAGACUCCUAUGGAGCUCAAUGUUCACCUCCGUGCUACUGAUGGUGAUCCUCUCCCUGAUCCGACGCGUUAUCGUCAUCUUGUUGGCAGUCUUGUCUAUCUAGCUGUCACUCGUCCGGACAUCUCUUAUCCGGUUCAUAUUCUGAGUCAGUUUGUCUCUGCCCCCACCUUGGUUCACUAUAGUCAUCUCCUUCGUAUUCUUCGAUAUCUUCGAGUCACGAUCUCUCACCGUCUAUUCUUUCCUCGCUCCAGUUCUUUACAGCUCCAGGCCUAUUCUGAUGCUACGUGGGCUAGUGAUCCUUCCGAUCGCCGUUCACUUUCUGCUUACUGUGUUUUUCUUGGUGGUUCUCUCAUUGCCUGGAAGACGAAGAAACAGCUUGCAGUUUCCCGUUUGAGUGCCGAGGCUGAGUUGCGAGCAAUGGCUCUUUUGACGGCAGAGGUGACUUGGUUACGGUGGUUACUUCAGGAUUUUGGUGUUUCUGUCACUACACCGACUCUGCUUCUAUCUGACAGUACAGGUGCUAUCAGCAUUGCACGCGAUCCUGUGAAGCAUGAGCUCACCAAGCAUAUUGGUGUUGAUGCUUUCUAUGUGCGCGCUGCUGUGCAGGAUGAGGUUAUUGCUCUUCAGUAUGUGCCUUCCGAGUUACAGUUGGCGGAUUUCCUGACAAAGGCACAGACUAGAGCACAACAUGGCUUUUAUCUCUCCAAACUCAGUGUUGUUCAUCCACCAUGA